AUUGAACGCUGGCGGCAGGCCUAACACAUGCAAGUCGAACGAGUGGCGGACGGGUGAGUAAUGUCUGGGAAACUGCCCGAUGGAGGGGGAUAACUACUGGAAACGGUAGCUAAUACCGCAUACCAUCGGAUGUGCCCAGAUGGGAUUAGCGAGUAGGUGGGGGAACGGCUCACCUAGGCCACGAUCCCUAGCUGGUCUGAGAGGAUGACCAGCCACACUGGAACUGAGACACGGUCCAGACUCCUACGGGAGGCAGCAGUGGGGAAUAAUGCACAAUGUGCGCAAGCCUGAUGCAGCCAUGCCGCGUGUAUGAAGAAGGCCUUCGAAGUGUAAAGUACUUUCAGCGAGGAGGCGUUGCUCACAGAAGAAGCACCGGCUAACUCCGUGCCAGCAGCCGCGGUAAUAC
rnacentral:rRNA from 1 species